GUCACAUUGUGGCCAUAGUUAGGAAGCAGAGAAAGAUAAAUGUUGAUGUUCAGACGGUUUUCUACUUUUUAUUCAGUCCUGAUUGCCAGUAUUUAUGGUUAGUUUGCCUUUCUCCAUUUACUCUUUUUAGAAACACCCAUAUACACACCCACAAGUGUUUCUACAGUGCCUGUGAACCAAGUGAAAUGGGCAAUGAAAGUUAAGCAUUUCAACCAGAAUAGAAGUCCUGAGAGAUGAUACCACAAAUGGUUUCAAUAUUGGCAGACAACCGAAAAAGACUCAACCCCAACCAAAAGAUACCCUUUUAGGUUUCCCGAAAGAACAUUGUUUUCUGUUCAUCUUCCCUCCACAGUUUUCAGCAUUCAAUUAAAAAGCAUGGGAUCAAGAAACAGUUACACUUUUAAGCAAAAUGAUCUACAGAGUCUGACACACAGGGACUACCAGGUAACUAACUACCAGUUCAUUCUGGAUUCCCUCGCAACUUUGGUGAACACAUCUGCUGCUCAUCCAGAUGCCAUACCUUGUGGGAUGACCAAGACUCUUAGUUAUGAGCCCAAGCUACAUUGUCACUUGCAGGAUGUGACUACCAGACCCUCAAAAUUGAGCAGAGAUGGAGAUGUGUCCAAAGAAACUGCUUUAUAUCAUAAGGUUGCCUUAUAUAUCCCUUACUAGUCACACAAUACCACAGCAUCUGAUUUCCUCCUGCUAUUCUGUUGGCCUUUCAUACAGAGAAUCCAAAGUAAUUGGAUGACCAAACAUCUCUUAGAGUUUAAUGGGACUUUUACUGAACUACUUAAUGGUAACAUCAUCCCUCUGAAAGCUAGAUGCUCAAGCCAACAGAGUAUAGAUUGUUUAAAGUAUAGCCCCUUCCUCUGAAGAUGCAUCAAACAAAAAAAAAAUGUGGACUGUUAGUUACUUCAAUGGCAAGUGAGGUUGGAGUUUGAAGAUAACAUGACUAACCAAAGAGCAUGCACCAGUGUCUCCACCAUACUUUGUAGUUUGUGUGUUCAUUUGUUCCAACUGAUAUGAGACUUCAAGAUAGUGGAACAAUGUGGCACAGUAUAGAAUAUUCAGAUUGGUAUUAUCCCUUGGAACAGUAUUAUGACUGAAGGAUGAAAAUUUAAAGUUGCCUGGGUCGAUACUGUAAAUAUCCUGUUUCAUGUGAAUGUUAACUGACUUUAAUUCUCCAUUUUCACUGAGAUGGAAAAUAAGUCACUGGCCAGAUCUGUGGGUUCAUAGCACACACACACCUAAGUCUUUAUUAGUCUGUUCCAGCAGUGAUAACAUAUCUUGACCAGAGCUGCAAUUUGGACUAUUUUGUUGAGUUUAUAGGGUUAUACUAGCAUCCUAUGUGAUCCAAAUGUCUGGUAAUAUGAAGACAUUACCAGACUAAGUCAAAUAGUACAAACAUGCAACUAUUUUUCCUUUGGGCCUUCAUCUUUGCUUUUACUGCUUGAGUGCCCUGUUCCUGGUGGUGGUUGUUGUUUGGUUUUGUUCUGUGUUUUUUAACUGAGUUUUACUAUAGGUGUGUAGGCACUUUCACUCAUUUCAG
rnacentral:lncRNA from 1 species